rnacentral:lncRNA from 1 species
AUGGCGGGAGCAAUGAGUGUCACUAUAUUUCUACCUUUUGUUUUGGUAGCCGUCACUCUAGGGUCCACUGGAGCCCCAAACUUGUCUUCAUUGAAGGAUACCAACAAGACUACCUCAACAUUGUCUGUCAUCACCACAGUGGUCCCUGCCUCAAAAGCCAGUAUAACACGUCUCAUAGUCAGUGAAACAUCUGAUUCAGCUCCUACUGGUAACACUGAAGUCCCAUCGGAAUCAUCACCGACAACUGAGCCUUCCCAAUCCUCUCAGACACUGACUCCAUCACAAGCAUCCGAUGGUAGCACCACCUCUACAGGUUUUACAGCUGACACUUCUACAAAUCAGACCCUAACUGGAACAACUUCUCAUGACUCCACAUCCUCAAACUUCUCGUCAACUUUGUCCCCAAACUCUGAUUUUACCACAGGGAACAUGAGCUCAAGCACAGCUUUACAAAGUGAUGGGAGCCAUGACUUAUCAAGGAGUCCGGGUCUUGUAGCAGUCCUAUGCAUAUUUUGCAUCUGUCUGGGUCUUCUACUGGCUGUUGGGAUUGCAAAGUUCAUUAAUUCUAGAGGUUCAAAGUUUGAGAGGCUCGAAGAUGUGCCAAUGGGCAAGAUGAAUGAAGAGUCUCCAUUUGCCCGUUAUCCAACAAAACAAUUCUGAAAGAUAACACAUCAUGAGACAAAGCCAUUGACCCAGAAUUGAUAGAAUGUAAAUCAGUCUUUUGUUUGGGUUCAGAUGGUGCCGUUCAUGACAUGUCAUCCACCAUCAUGUUUUUUUCUGUCUUUGUUUGUUUUGUCUGGCUGCUGGAAAGUGACAAAUGUUUGAAAGAAAUCAGUAUAGCCCAAGGGCUACAAUCAACCCUGUGAUGUAGUACGGAAUAUCUACUCUGAGGUUGGUCAGCAGCAUACUAAAGUUGAUCAUUGGCCCAAGGUGAAGUACUAUUCAUUCACAGAUGGAUGGAUGCGUCAAGAACCAUAAUGUAGAAGAUACACAGACAAUGGCUGCGCUUACACAGGCAGCCCAAUUCUGCUCUUUUGUCCAAUUAUUGCAAAAAGAUCAGAUCUGAUUUGUCAAAAGCCCAAUUAUUGGCAAAUGUACAGAAUUGGGUUAUCUGGAAUUCUACGUCUGGUAGAAAUGUGUUUGGAUAAGGAAAGUUUCCUCUCAUAACCUCUACAAGACAGUAUGUUAAAUAAAACAACAUUUCAAUUUACUCAAACUAGGGGUCAUGGCCAGAUUAGAAAAUGGGGUCCUGAGAGAAACUCCAAAAUGUUUAUUGUAUAUUGUUUAUUGCUUAUUGUCAGAUGAUCUUCUGAACUUCCCAAUACCUUUUUGAUGCAUUUCAGUCACUUCAAACCAUACUUCCAUCAGGUUUGAACAAUGUCAAAAGUACUGUCCAACUGAUUUGUAAUAGACUGGCAUAGCUCCAAUUUAAAAAGUAAACAUUGGCUGUUGAUUACAUCACCUUUUUUAAAUUUUAUCUAAUGGGGUUAGCUGCCUAAAAAGUUUGGGAAACCAUACUCUACCCGCUGUUGGUUCUUUUGACUUUAGGAAUGCCAGACAAUAUAUCCGCAGGAAAGUAUAAUCCAAUAAAGUUACCAAAGCACUGGUAGUGCGUUUCGAUUUCUAUCACCUGAAGCAUGCACCGAACUAUGUAAACGCGUGCAUGAGCUUGGCAAGUAUCAUGCCUGUAUUUGCGUCUUGUGGCAUGCUUCAAGUGAUUAUAGAAUACUUAACCUCCUACCAGCACUUUGAAAAGUUUAUUUAAUUAUACUUUACUGUGGAUGUCUCACAGUCCUACCUGCAAAAAGACCACCCGCAUGGACAACCGGUAAAGUAUUUUAAAAUAAACCGUUUACUCCAAACAGAAGACGCAAACGAUAGUUUCUAUUGGACAAUUCGGGUAUUCGUUUCGUUCCUUUUGCACUGUUUGCUUCCGUUUUGUUUUAAAUGGCAAACGGUUUCUAUAAUGAAUACGCCCCCGUGUAAAUGCAGCCAAUGUGUCAGGUAUCAUUAGAAAUAAAGCUGCUCCAAAUUCUCUGCUUCUUGAAAAUACUCAAUGGCCUAAUUUUUGUAUGGUUUGAAUUAUGUUUUCUGUUCUCCAGACGUGUUAUAUAUAUAUAUAUAUAGGGGUAGGGUUAUAUAAAUUGUUAUUCUAAGACACAUUUUUUUAAGUGACCCACAAACAGCUAGUCAAUAGCACAUUUCUUUUGUUUACCUGUGUUAACUAAAGUAAUGCAAUGACAACAACCGGGAAAUUUUACAAUAAUAGGUCGCUUUCUCAAUAAACUCCAGGCUUGUUGUCAUUGACAAGACGGUGAAGUUAGAGAGAAAAAAACAAUUUAGCUGCUCACUGUUCAGCCUCCCAUAAUUUGACUGAACUGCGUGUCCUGCUCCGUUGCACGCGAACAUUGUUUACAGCCACAAACAUUUCCUGGCAUGUGACUGAACGCCGUUCGCAACGAAAGCAACACGGACAGAGUUUCAAGUCUAAAAAGCAAUAAUAAAAAAAGUACGGUGAUAAAGACAACGAACUUCAAUGAAGAAACAGAACUACAUUUUCCUUCAUAAGCUGCAGUUGUUGGUGUCUUUCUUAUCUGAAAUACUAAAGUCGACCAAAG